CAAUCCCUGAGCUGGUAGGAGGGAGCAAAUCUAAAUUUUGAUGAUCAUCAGCUGCACCUGCCUCCAACACUCCCCUGAGAUUUACUUCUGGAUCGUUUCCAGCCUCUAAAAAGCUUAAAUAUUGUUGUAUAUAAAUACAUGAAGAGCCACUAAACCGGAGUCAAAUGAAGCUGAAUCUGAUUCUGACAGCGAGAUGUUCGGAUGGAUCAGUCAUGUGUGUUUAGGUGUCUCGAGGACCUGGACUCACCUUGUCGAGGCCGUCGGCGGGGUCGGCUAUGAGUCCGUCCCUGAUGUGGAUCCUCAUGUGUUUGCG